CUAACAUGGCCUUGAGCAGUCUUAAUCCUGAACCUACCUGGGAAAUCCCCUUCUUCCAACAGGGGCAUAGUUCUGGCUGACUCUGGAGCCCAGCUGGUGCACGUGGAUUGGGAUCAAGAGGACAAGUUUGUGAAUCAAGGGGCUCUAGGCAAAGGGAAACUUUUGCUGGAGGAAACAGAAGCAUUGAAGACUCGUCUAUGCCAAGGCUUCUGCUAGAAUGAACUUAUCCAGUAAGUAUGCCCAAAGCCAAAGGCAGGUUUAUCUGGUGUGUUGUCAAAAUUUGGCUGGAAACAGGAGAAAACCAUGUGUACCACCAAAUUUCCUGGCUUCCCCAGGCACAGGGGCUCUUGAAGAGAUGUUGUGAUGGCCCUUUGUGAAUGUGCCCAGUCUGGAAAUGGACAAAUGCUGUACAGAAGGUAGGGCAUAUGUGAGUUCUGCCCUGUGGUAUCUGCAGAAAGUGGGCGAUUUUAACAAAGCCAUGGGAGGAAGCCUGCAUGAUGACAGUGCAUGCCUUGAAAUGGACUAAACGUGUGGAAAAUUAAUGGACAAGGGGGCUUUUGAAAUUCUAAUGUAUAAGAAAUUUCUGGAAGGACUGAGUUUUUGAGUCUUUAAAACUUCCCAAGCAGCUGAGUUCCUGGGAAAGGUCAGGGCCAAAUAUACCUUUUAACAGGUAUAUUCUCAAAAAAGACAUGAACAGAAUGGUUGAGGUCUUUGCUCAGUUGGAUAUCUGUGUGACACCUUCAGUAUUCAGUCUUUGGAUGAUAUUCCCCAACUCCUGAAGAAUAAAGAGCGCCCUUCUCUUUUAUCACGUAUUGGCAGGAGGUGACAGUCUUCUGAAAACACCGGCUUUUGUCCUUUCCCAGGAAAGUCCACCUCUAGAACACUCAGAAGAGAAACCAGAAAAUAUGGAUUUGGCAAAGAAAUGGUAGCCCAACACCAUCCUUUGGAAGCGAUUAAAAGCAACCGGCCAACAACAAAUCAAUAAAAAGAGCCUAUUUUAUUUUAUCUUAUUUUUUUUUUCAAAAAUACAGACAUUACUCUUUAUUACAACAAAAUGCUUAUCACAAUAUAAAUGCACAGGAAAUAUUUGAUUAGUGGUAUCUUUAAAAUUUAAUUUAACUGUGGUAAUAAAAUUUAAUCAUAAACCUGGCAAUAUGACAUAAAAAUCUCAAUUCUAAUAUUUGUAUCUAAUUAUAAAUAAAAGUGUGCUAAAAGGUUAAAUAAGGGUGCAUUGAAUUAAUAUCUUAUACUAAAAUUUAUAAACAAUAAAAAGCAUAAUACAAGAUUGAUUAUGUAAAAAUUUACAGUAUAUCUAUAAAAUAUAAUAUGCAUAGAAAAUGUCGGCUAUAUGUAAAAUUAAUUGAAGAGUUGAUUACAAAUCAGACUGAACAGAAGUAAAGAAACAAAAAGGAAAUUCAUCAAAAUUAUUAAGAUAAUUAACUGCAUAUUGAAUUAUAGGCAAGUUUAUAGUCAAGAUUGAUAAAAAAAGAAAAUCUAGAAAAGAGCCUAUUUUAUUAGUGAUCUGAUAUAUUUCAGUUUGUUUGUAAAAUUUUGGGAAAUCAUAAGCAUUUUCAUUUGGGUAGAGUUUCUUCUCAUGUUAAGAUAAAAACCUUGUGCUUUCAGAAAACUUCAAAAAUAUUUGCAUAUGUUAGCUGUUAGACUUCUAUGAUUUUUAUGUCAAAUAAAGGCUAUAAAAAUUA